GUACUUCGAACUUAGAGAUAGCUGGUUAUUCAGGAAACGGAUAUUAGUCCAAUUUUAAGUCUCCACACAACACUAAAUGUGCCCAUAGGCUCAAAAUUCACUCAAAUAAGGUACAGCCUAUUUGAUACAGGACACAACCUUUGACAGAGGGUAAUGUAUAAGAUGCUAUGAUUAAGUAGGCCUAAAAGCAGCCACCUUUUAAAAAGCGUUACAGCCUUAUCACACUGUAUUAUUAAUCCCAACCUUAACUCAAAACCCCUUAUUAAUACUGAAUGACCCCAUACUAAUAUGGGAGCCCUUAUGUUAAAACUAGUAACAAGAAUAAUUAUUCUCCUACAAAUGUAAGUGUAAGCCGAAAUGGACCACCCGUCGGCACUUACCGCUAAUGAACACACAGUAAUAACUCCGCCAGAAAACUCUACUUCCACCAGCGUUAACCUUACACAAGAACUUUUCUGGAAAGAUUAAAAAAGGGGGAAGGAACUCGGCAAACA
rnacentral:rRNA from 1 species